GAUGAACGCUGGCGGCGUGCCUAAUACAUGCAAGUCGAGCGAACGGACGAGAAGCUUGCUUCUCUGAUGUUAGCGGCGGACGGGUGAGUAACACGUGGAUAACCUACCUAUAAUACUGGGAUAACUUCGGGAAACCGGAGCUAAUACCGGAUAAUAUUUUGAACCGCAUGGUUCAAAAGUGAAAGACGGUCUUGCUGUCACUUAUAGAUGGAUCCGCGCUGCAUUAGCUAGUUGGUAAGGUAACGGCUUACCAAGGCAACGAUGCAUAGCCGACCUGAGAGGGUGGUCGGCCACACUGGAACUGGGACACGGUCCAGACUCCUACGGGAGGCAGCAGUAGGGAAUCUUACGCAAUAGGCGAAAGUCUGACGGAGCAACGCCGCGUGAGUGAUGAAGGUCUUCGGAUCGUAAAACUCUGUUAUUAGGGAAGAACAUAUGUGUAAGGAACUGUGCACAUCUUGACGGUACCUAAUCAGAAAGCCACGGCUAACUACGUG
rnacentral:rRNA from 1 species